CAGUUUCCUGCAAUGCACUCACCAAAGCGCUACUCACUUCGGAGUGGACAAAACUUAGGAAAUGGCCAAGGGGAGCUCUGCUUACACUUUACACUCUCAGCAUUUAUUUGUAUAAAUUUCUUUAUAGGGCAGUAUAGAGACAUGAGGCCACAUUGAAAAAGCAAAGCUUGUCAUCCUAUGGCCUUGGGUCAAGAAUAGAGAUAGUGCUGCUCAUGUCAGUUUCAACCUCCAGUGGCCAAGGGUUUGAUCUGAUGCUCUUUCAAGUCUUCACCGUAGCCUUUCUCAAGCUCAAUGGCCAAUAAUCCCACAGGAGGAGAUUUUAGGGCCCUCUCUAACUUCUGUUUUGCUAUCUCUCCCAAGCCUGCUUCCUCUGCAAAAGUCACCACUGUGCCUGUGCACCUACCACCUCUUAGAGCCUUUGGAAUCAGCCACGAAUUGCAGUGCUGAUUCCUUCCAUGACCACGUAUCAUCUGCAGGAAAACUCUUCGUUAUGCCUUGCCAGUAAGAGUGAAGAUUUCAUCCGCAACCUGGACCAGGUUUGGGAAUGUUCUACACGUAAACUUUCGGAUCCAGUUUUGACUAUUGUUAUGGGCUUAGUUGGAUGCCCCCAGAUUCCUAUGUUGACGUCCUAACACUCAGCAUCUCAGAAUGUGGCAGUAUUCAGAGACAGGAUUUUUAAAGAGGUGAUAAAGGGAAAAUGAGCUCACUGGGGGUGGGCAUCAAGCCAACGAGACUGGUGAGCUUAUAGGAAGAGGAGAUUAGGACACAGACAAUACACACUGAAGGAUAAUCAUCUGAAGACAGAGUGGAGAACACAGCUAUCUGCAAGCCAAGGAGAGACGUUUGAAGAAUCGAACCCUACUGCCACCUUGAUCUUGGACUUCCAGCGUCCAGAACUGUGAGAAAAUAAAUUGUAUGUUGCCUAA